rnacentral:lncRNA from 1 species
AUGCUUAGCCUCGUCCACCCCAGCUGUAAAACUCAGAAACCAGUCUUACUUGUUAUCAUCUAUCGUCCACCUGGGCCUUACACAGAGUUUCUCUCUGAUUUCUCAGACUUUUUAUCUGAUUUAGUGCUCAGCUCAGAUAAAAUAAUUAUUGUGGGUGAUUUUAAUAUCCAUGUAGAUGCUAAAAAUGACAGCCUCAACAUCGCAUUUAAUCUGUUAUUAGACUCAUUUGGCUUCUCUCAAAAUGUAAAAGAACCCACCCACCACUUUAAUCACACUCUAGAUCUUGUUUUAACAUAUGGCAUAGAAACUGAACAUUUAACAGUGUUUCCUGAAAACCCUCUGCUGUCUGAUCAUUUCCUGAUAACAUUUACAUUUACAAUAAUUGAUUACACAGCAGUGGAGAGUAGACUUUAUCAAAGUAGAUGUCUUUCUGAAAGUGCUGUAACUAAGUUUAAGAAUAUAAUCCACCCACUGUUAUCAUCUUCAAUGCCCUGUACCAACAUAGAGCAGAGCAGCUAUCUGAACGCUACUCCAACAGAGGUCGAUUAUCUUGUUAAUAAUUUUACCUCCUCACUACGUACGACUCUGGAUACUGUAGCUCCUGUGAAAACUAAGGCCUCAAAUCCAAAGUCCCUGACUCCGUGGUAUAAUUCUCAAACACGUAGCCUAAAGCAGAUAACUCGUAAGCUGGAGAGGAAAUGGCGUGUCACAAAUUUAGAGGAUCAUCAUUUAGCCUGGAGAAAUAGUUUGCUGCUUUAUAAGAAAGCCCUCCGCAAAGCCAGAACAUCUUACUAUUCGUCACUGAUUGAAGAAAAUAAGAACAACCCCAGGUUUCUCUUCAGCACUGUAGCCAGGCUGACAAACAGUCAGAGCUCUACUGAGCCAACCAUCCCUUUAACGUUAACUAGUAAUGACUUCAUGAACUUCUUCACAAAUAAAAUUUUUAUCAUUAGAGAAAAAAUUACCAAUAAUCAUCCCACAGAUGUAAUAUUAUCUACAGCUACUUUUAGUACCAUUGAUGUUAAGUUAGACUCUUUUUCUCCAAUUGAUCUUUCUGAGUUAACUUCAAUAAUUAAUUCCUCCAAACCAUCAACGUGUCUUUUAGACCCCAUUCCUACAAAACUGCUCAAAGAAGUCCUGCCAUUAAUUAAUGCUUCAAUCUUAAAUAUGAUCAACCUAUCUCUAAUAAUCGGCUAUGUACCACAGGCC